rnacentral:rRNA from 1 species
UACGAGGGGUGCAAGCGUUGCUCGGAAUUAUUGGGCGUAAAGGGCAGGUAGGUGGUCUUAUUUGUCUUGUGUGAAAUCCUUGGGCUUAACCCAAGAAGUGCGCAAGAAACGGUAAGACUAGAGUCCCAGAGAGGCUUGUGGAAUUCCCGGUGUAGCGGUGAAAUGCGUAGAGAUCGGGAGGAACACCAGAGGCGAAGGCGGCAAGCGUGGAUGGGCACUGACACUACAACUGGCGAAAGCGUGGGGAGCAAACAGG